GACGAACGCUGGCGGCGUGCUUAACACAUGCAAGUCGAACGGAAAGGCCCUGCUUUUGUGGGGUGCUCGAGUGGCGAACGGGUGAGUAACACGUGAGUAACCUGCCCUUGACUUUGGGAUAACUUCAGGAAACUGGGGCUAAUACCGGAUAGGAGCUCCUGCUGCAUGGUGGGGGUUGGAAAGUUUCGGCGGUUGGGGAUGGACUCGCGGCUUAUCAGCUUGUUGGUGGGGUAGUGGCUUACCAAGGCUUUGACGGGUAGCCGGCCUGAGAGGGUGACCGGCCACAUUGGGACUGAGAUACGGCCCAGACGCCUACGGGAGGCAGCAGUGGGGAAUAUUGCACAAUGGGCGGAAGCCUGAUGCAGCAACGCCGCGUGCGGGAUGACGGCCUUCGGGUUGUAAACCGCUUUCGCCUAUGACGAAGCGUGAGUGACGGUAAUGGGUAAAGAAGCACCGGCUAACUACGUG
rnacentral:rRNA from 1 species